GGGACCGAGCGGCGGACGGGUUAGUAACGCGUGGGAACAUACCCUUUUCUACGGAAUAGCCUCGGGAAACUGAGAGUAAUACCGUAUAAGCCCUUCGGGGGAAAGAUUUAUCGGGAAAGGAUUGGCCCGCGUUAGAUUAGAUAGUUGGUGGGGUAAUGGCCUACCAAGUCUACGAUCUAUAGCUGGUUUUAGAGGAUGAUCAGCAACACUGGGACUGAGACACGGCCCAGACUCCUACGGGAGGCAGCAGUGGGGAAUCUUAGACAAUGGGCGCAAGCCUGAUCUAGCCAUGCCGCGUGUGUGAUGAAGGUCUUAGGAUCGUAAAGCACUUUCGCCAGGGAUGAUAAUGACAGUACCUGGUAAAGAAACCCCGGCUAACUCCGUGCCAGCAGCCGCGGUAAUACGGAGGGGGUUAGCGUUGUUCGGAAUUACUGGGCGUAAAGCGUACGUAGGCGGAUCAGAAAGUAGGGGGUGAAAUCCCAGGGCUCAACCCUGGAACUGCCUCCUAAACUCCUGGUCUUGAGUUCGAGAGAGGUGAGUGGAAUUCCAAGUGUAGAGGUGAAAUUCGUAGAUAUUUGGAGGAACACCAGUGGCGAAGGCGGCUCACUGGCUCGAUACUGACGCUGAGGUACGAAAGUGUGGGGAGCAAACAGGAUUAGAUACCCUGGUAGUCCACACCGUAAACGAUGAAUGCCAGUCGUCGGGCAGUAUACUGUUCGGUGACACACCUAACGGAUUAAGCAUCC
rnacentral:rRNA from 1 species